UAGGGAAUCUUCGGCAAUGGGGGGAACCCUGACCGAGCAACGCCGCGUGAGUGAAGAAGGUUUUCGGAUCGUAAAGCUCUGUUGUUAAGGAAGAACGAGUGUGAGAAUGGAAAGUUCAUGCUGUGACGGUACUUAACCAGAAAGGGACGGCUAACUACGUGCCAGCAGCCGCGGUAAUACGUAGGUGGCAAGCGUUGUCCGGAUUUAUUGGGCGUAAAGCGAGCGCAGGCGGUCAAUUAAGUCUGAUGUGAAAGCCCCCGGCUCAACCGGGGAGGGUCAUUGGAAACUGGUUGACUUGAGUGCAGAAGAGGAGAGUGGAAUUCCAUGUGUAGCGGUGAAAUGCGUAGAUAUAUGGAGGAACACCGGUGGCGAAAGCGGGUCUCUGGGCCGUUACUGACGCUGAGGAGCGAAAGCGUGGGGAGCGAACAGG
rnacentral:rRNA from 1 species